GUAGGUGGCAAGCGUUGUCCGGAAUUAUUGGGGCGUAAAGCGCGCGCAGGCGGUCCUUUAAGUCUGAUGUGAAAGCCCACGGGCUCAACCGUGGAGGGGUCAUUGGAAACUGGGGGACUUGAGUGCAGAAGAGGAGAGUGGAAUUCCACGUGUAGCGGUGAAAUGCGUAGAGAUGUGGAGGAACACCAGUGGCGAAGGCGACUCUCUGGUCUGUAACUGACGCUGAGGCGCGAAAGCGUGGGGAGCGAACAGGAUUAGAUACCCUGGUAGUCCACGCCGUAAACGAUGAGUGCUAAGUGUUAGAGGGUUUCCGCCCUUUAGUGCUGCAGCUAACGCAUUAAGCACUCCGCCUGGGGAGUACGGUCGCAAAGACUG
rnacentral:rRNA from 1 species